GAAUAAUCAAUACUGGAAGAAGGGAAGUUGUAUUAUUUCUUCCUGUUUUUCCUUAAUUUUUUUUCCAUUUUUCUGCCUCAUAGUUGCACAUAUUAUUUGCAACUCUUUUAGUAUGUACUAAGUAGUCCACCAUUAGUAAUGUAUUCUGAUUAAGAGACAGCUGCACAUCAGCAUGUCACCAUCUUUCUUUCUUGAUAUGUUUGAAAGUCGAAGGCCAGAUUGUUCUGCUGACGUUCAAUGUCUU
rnacentral:misc_RNA from 1 species